AGGUGAACCUGCGGUAGGAUCAUUG
rnacentral:ncRNA from 3 species